UGGGGAAUAUUGCACAAUGGGCGCAAGCCUGAUGCAGCCAUGCCGCGUGUGUGAAGAAGGCCUUCGGGUUGUAAAGCACUUUCAGCGGGGAGGAAAGCGUUAAGGUUAAUAACCUUGGCGAUUGACGUUACCCGCAGAAGAAGCACCGGCUAACUCCGUGCCAGCAGCCGCGGUAAUACGGAGGGUGCAAGCGUUAAUCGGAAUUACUGGGCGUAAAGCGCACGCAGGCGGUCUGUCAAGUCGGAUGUGAAAUCCCCGGGCUCAACCUGGGAACUGCAUUCGAAACUGGCAGGCUAGAGUCUUGUAGAGGGGGGUAGAAUUCCAGGUGUAGCGGUGAAAUGCGUAGAGAUCUGGAGGAAUACCGGUGGCGAAGGCGGCCCCCUGGACAAAGACUGACGCUCAGGUGCGAAAGCGUGGGGAGCAAACAGG
rnacentral:rRNA from 1 species